rnacentral:rRNA from 1 species
UUUGAGCGGGGGACAACAUUUGGAAACGAAUGCUAAUACCGCAUAAAAACUUUAAACACAAGUUUUAAGUUUGAAAGAUGCAAUUGCAUCACUCAAAGAUGGUCCCGCGUUGUAUUAGCUAGUUGGUGAGGUAAAGGCUCACCAAGGCGAUGAUACAUAGCCGACCUGAGAGGGUGAUCGGCCACAUUGGGACUGAGACACGGCCCAAACUCCUACGGGAGGCAGCAGUAGGGAAUCUUCGGCAAUGGACGAAAGUCUGACCGAGCAACGCCGCGUGAGUGAAGAAGGUUUUCGGAUCGUAAAACUCUGUUGGUAGAGAAGAACGUUGGUGAGAGUGGAAAGCUCAUCAAGUGACGGUAACUACCCAGAAAGGGACGGCUAACUACGUGCCAGCAGCCGCGGUAAUACGUAGGUCCCGAGCGUUGUCCGGAUUUAUUGGGCGUAAAGCGAGCGCAGGUGGUUUAUUAAGUCUGGUGUAAAAGGCAGUGGCUCAACCAUUGUAUGCAUUGGAAACUGGUAGACUUGAGUGCAGGAGAGGAGAGUGGAAUUCCAUGUGUAGCGGUGAAAUGCGUAGAUAUAUGGAGGAACACCGGUGGCGAAAGCGGCUCUCUGGCCUGUAACUGACACUGAGGCUCGAAAGCGUGGGGAGCAAACAGGAUUAGAUACCCUGGUAGUCCACGCCGUAAACGAUGAGUGCUAGAUGUAGGGAGCUAUAAGUUCUCUGUAUCGCAGCUAA